rnacentral:rRNA from 1 species
UCAGCCGCCGCGGUAAUACCAGCACCUCGAGUGGUCAGGACGUUUAUUGGGCCUAAAGCAUCCGUAGCCGGCUUUGCAAGUCUUCGGUUAAAUCCACCUGCUCAACAGAUGGGCCGCUGGAGAUACUACAAAGCUAGGGAGUGGGAGAGGCAGACGGUAUUCAGUGGGUAGGGGUAAAAUCCACUGAUCCAUUGAGGACCACCAGUGGCGAAGGCGGUCUGCCAGAACACGUUCGACGGUGAGGGAUGAAAGCUGGGGGAGCAAACCGGAUUAGAUACCCGGGUAGUCCCAGCUGUAAACAAUGCAAACUCGGUGAUGCAUUGGCUUAUGGCCAAUGCAGUGCCGCAGGGAAGCCGUUAAGUUUGCCGCCUGGGAAGUACGGACGC